CCUACGGGUGGCUGCAGUGAGGAAUAUUGGUCAAUGGGCGGAAGCCUGAACCAGCCAAGUAGCGUGCAGGAUGACGGCCCUACGGGUUGUAAACUUCUUUUAUACGGGAAUAACGCGCCUUACGUGUAGGGCUUUGCAUGUACCUUAUGAAUAAGGACCGGCUAAUUCCGUGCCAGCAGCCGCGGUAAUACGGAAGGUCCGGGCGUUAUCCGGAUUUAUUGGGUUUAAAGGGAGCGUAGGCGGCUUGUCAAGCGUGUUGUGAAAUGUCCGGGCUCAACCCGGGCCUUGCAGCGCGAACUGGCGGGCUUGAGUCCGCGGAAAGUAGGCGGAAUUCGUGGUGUAGCGGUGAAAUGCUUAGAUAUGACGAAGAACACCGAUUGCGAAGGCAGCUCGCUGCAGCGGAACUGACGCUGAUGCUCGAAAGUGCGGGUAUCGAACAGGAUUAGAUACCCGGGUAGUC
rnacentral:rRNA from 1 species